rnacentral:rRNA from 1 species
AACGCUGGCGGCGUGCUUAACACAUGCAAGUCGAACGAGAAUCUGUGGAUCGAGGAUUCGUCCAAGUGAAGCAGAGGACAGUGGCGGACGGGUGAGUAACGCGUGAGGAACCUGCCUUUCGAGAGGGGGGACAACAGUUGGAAACGACUGCUAAUACCGCAUGAUACAUUUGGGUGGCAUCAUCUGAAUGUCAAAGAUUUAUCGCUGAAAGAUGGCCUCGCGUCUGAUUAGCUAGUUGGUGAGGUAACGGCCCACCAAGGCGACGAUCGGUAGCCGACCUGAGAGGGUGACCGGCCACAUUGGGACUGAGACACGGCCCAGACUCCUACGGGAGGCAGCAGUGGGGAAUAUUGCACAAUGGAGGAAACUCUGAUGCAGCGACGCCGCGUGAGCGAAGAAGUAUUUCGGUAUGUAAAGCUCUGUCAGCAGGGAAGAUAAUGACGGUACCUGACCAAGAAGCCCCGGCUAACUACGUG